UAGACGUAAACUAUUGCCAGCCAUUAUUUGGGAGGUCACAAGCUACACAACUUCCCUGAUUACUCCUGCAGAUAACAUCACAAUUGCAGAACCUAAGAUUGGUCUUUUGAGAUGUCUUUUCAGGUUUUUUUGCAUGUCUUACUACCAAUGGCUCCACCUGGACCUGCCAACCAUGGCUCCAUUUGGACCCGUCUACUGCUCCUGUGGCCCCACCAGAGAUGAAGAAACUGAGGCGCAGAAGAAUUGUCUCUUGUCCAAACUCAUGCAGCUGCUAGGAGGUAUCUGUAGGACCUGAGCCUUCCACCCAUGUGUCUUCCACCAAUAUCCACAUUAAAAGGAUGAAGCAUGAGCUAGCUUUUGCUUCCUACCAAAAGGAUUAAAUAAACCCAAAGUGGACCAUUUGGAGGCAUACAUGUUGUCUCCAGUGUGGAAUGAGAGGGGCAGGAGUGUCUGGCCAGCGCAUGAAGAAUGCUAACCCAUGCUGCAGGUUGAGUCUUAGAGCCAGUACUGUCUGGGAAAGAAGAUUCUGAUUUGUAGCGUUUGCCAAAUGCUGUGAUAUCUAUACUCCCACCAUGACUGAUUUCAAUUGACCAACUUGAAGUCACUGAACGUAGAGUUGGGAGAAGAUGCAAAUAAUUAGCUCUUAAGAGCGGCUGCAAGAUGCCUUCAACAUGCCCCUGCCUGGGGUCCGGAGAGAAGAGAGCAAGUGUAAUCACCUGAUGGGUUCUUUCUGACCACUGCACAGACCAAAUUAACUCACUGGGACCAUGGUACUGCAGUAGAGGAAGAGUUUAAUUGACACAAGGCCAGCCCGUGCUGGAGAACUGGAGUUAUCACAGAGGUUUUCAAGGAUUGUUGGUGAGCCAG
rnacentral:lncRNA from 1 species